AUGUGCCACGCGUACGCUCCGGUUCCUCCAUGCCGCCCACACCCGCCUGGCAGCUGCUAUCUACGCUGUGUUGGCC
rnacentral:sRNA from 1 species